rnacentral:misc_RNA from 1 species
GAGAUGGCGCUUUAGCUCUCUCGCUAUGCAUGUCGGGAACAGCGUUUGUUUAUCAUAUUUAAAACGGUGGAAAGUUUGUAUUUUGGUUUUAUAUAAAUUUUUUAUCUGUUACACGUUUUUUUUUAAUUUUAAAGAACUAAGAACUCACAAUGGAUAUAGAAAAUCUAAAGCGUUUGUUAGAAGAAAAAGAUAAAACUCUGGAAAUUGCUGCUCACUAUGGGAAAAAAUUAUUAGAAGAUAACAGACAAUUGAGUGAAAGAUUAGAAAAACAAAAUAAAGAACAUGUGAAGAAAAUAGAGGAACUUGAACAACAAAAACAUUCACUUCAGAUGGCCAUGGAAUUGAAAAAUCGAAUGGAAAAUUCGCACGUAGUGGAAAUUGAAAGUUUAAAAGAAAAUUUAGAAACACUACAUAAUUUAAAUAAAGAAUUAAAUGAGAGGGAUACAGAGCAAAGAAGAAAACUUUCUGAUUUGAAUAAACAGAUUAAUUAUUUAGAAGAGAUUCAAGAAAAAAUACUUCAAAAUGAAACUAAGUGGAAAGAAAAAGUUUUAUUAUUAGAAGAACAGUUAAGAACUUUACAAGAGCAAUUACAUCAUUCUAAUGUAAAUGAUGAUAGUUAUAGUGAUGAAACAAGUAACUUAAGAGCAGAGUUUCAACAAAUGAUAAUUGAUAAGCAAAUAUUGGAAAAUACAAUAACAGAUCUGAAUCAUGAGUUGGAGACAUUUCAAAGUCAAGAAAGAAAAAUAGUUGAAAAUUAUAAUAAAAUUCAAGAAGAAUUAAGUAAUAAAGAUACAGAAAUUAAAAAUUAUAAAGAAAAUAUAGAGGAAUGUAAAGAUGAAAUUUGUAUGCUGAAAGCUGAAAUAGAGAAUCUUAAAUUUGGACAAACUGAUCCAAAUCGUCGUGGUAAUUCACUUUUUGUUGAAGUAGAUGAUAAACGCAAACAAGUGGAAAAAGAAUUAGUAUCUCUGAGAGUUAAAUAUCAAGCCAGUAAAGAAUCACUACAGUUUGCAAGACAACAAAUGAAUAAAAUGAAAUAUCAAAUGUCAACACUUUGGAAUAUGGCAUCAGUAAAGGCAGAUGCAGUUUACAUAGAAAAACUUGAACAGUCUUUAUUUCAAAGUAAACAAGAAAUACAAGAACUUAAUCAACAACUUCAAAAAAGAAGAGAGUUAGAAUCAAAUAAUAAUAUUGUAAAUGAUAAAUUACAGGCACCAGAUUAUUUGAAAGCUAUGUAUCAACAAUCUCAAAAAGAAGUUAAUUCUCUGAAUAAACAAGUUCAACAAUUACUUUUUCUUAAAGCAGCUGAAACUGAUAAAUUAAUACAAUGUCAGCAAAAUCUUUACCAAGAAAAAAAGAAAUCAUCUCAGUUAAGGAGUGAAGUUUUACAGCUCAAGUUAAAAAUUGAUGAAUUAAAACAAUCUGAACAUGAAACAAUAAAGCCAAAGUCAAUAACAGAAAAAUUAUCUGAAUUUAAAACAGAGGAGAAGGAAUUUACAGAUAAAGAGAACAUUCAUAAAAAAUUUCAUUCAGAUGAAUCAGAAAAUCAGGAACUGUCUAAAAGUAACAUUGUUGAAAAAAACAAGCAAUCAUUUCCUAAAAAUUUGAAUGAAGGGAUAUUAAAAGAAAAUCAACAGAAAGCAACUGCUCCUUGCAUCAGUAUUUCAAGUGACUCUAUUAAUUCUUGUCCUCAACAAUGAUAAAAACAUAUUAUAUAAAGCUGCUUUGUUAUUCUAAAAACAAAAGUCCAAUAUUAAUUGGAAUAAAAGACAAGAUGACAAAGCAAUUGGAUACAUGAAAAUGGAAGAUGUUGCUACUCCAGCAAGUGGAGCAUGGAAUGGAAAAGUUUUUUGGCAGCAGAAGUGUGUUUGCAAUAUCACACUAGUGAUAUUGCAAACACACAUGUCCUGCAUGGAAAUAUGGAAUGUUCUGCUAAGAUCUUGCACUUUUAUCUAUAUAAAAUACAAUCAGGAAUGAUUUCUGAUAAUGAUAAGUGGAAAAACAUUUGCCAUUGAUCAGUUGAUGAUACAUUGGACAUGACAAAUUCUGUAUGAUCAUUUUCAUUUUCUCUUGUGAAAAAAUGUUACAGCACAGAGAAUUGCACAUUUAAGCCAAUUCAUGGCGAUGCAUCAUCUUGCAUACAGAUUGCUGUGUUCAGACAAUUUUCUCUGUUGCAGUGUUGGAAUGACAAACUAUUGAAGCAUAUCUCCAAAUAAACUGGAAUUAACAGAAACAUGUUACUGGACUAGAUGCAAAGUUUUCAAAAAGAUAAGAACCAAUGAUAAAGGUUAUUGUGAAACUAUACCACACUGUUAUUUUUGAUGAGAGUGAUGAAAUUUUUGUCACAUUAAAUAUGACAGUUGAGUGUUUACAGUGAUUAAUCAACAGGUGUGUGACUGUAGUUUACCUGAUUUCCUUGACUCCUCCCUAAUUGUAGCCAGUAGUGGCUACUGUUAAGGAGCUACUAUUUGCUACCAUUAGGGAGGGGUCAAGGAAAUCAGGGAAACUUAGAGACUCGAAUAAACCACAUCAAUGUAACGUAUGACGGGAGAAAUCAUAUCAAAAAAGCAUUGAAGUUUUAGCAUGAGCUGACUUUUCUCAAUUUCUGGGUUACAAGCACAAUCCAACUACAAUGCUUAUUGGAUGUUGCAACAUGCAUCUCAUUCUUUUUUUCUUUACUUUUUAUUAUUUUAAUUCCAAUUUUUCAAGAGAAUUUGUGAGGCAAUACCCCACACCAACUUUGAGAAUUCUAAAUAGUAACUCUUAUACAAUUAAUAGACAUCACAUUUCAGAACUUUUAACACACAAUUUUUCAACAAGUUUUGGGAUUCGAUGCACAGUUAAUUGUUCAUAAAACAUAUAAAGGACAGACUCCAA